rnacentral:tRNA from 1 species
GUUCUUCGAGCUUGCUUCUAUCGACCGUUUUAGAACAUCAGUGGCCAACGAUCGUCAGGAUCGUUGAGCUGCAUUGGCGGGAUUUCGCCGUCUUCGUUUCUCUUUCUUCGCGGACGAACACGCGCUGGGCCUGCGAGAGCAGGGUCCCUGGUCCUUGACGGGAUAUGCGUUAGGGGCUUGUAGCUCAGUUGGUUAGAGCGCGCGCUUGAUAAGCGUGAGGUCGGAAGUUCAAGUCUUCCCAGGCCCACCACACUCAUCGGGUAAGCAUUCGUCUUCUGGUUACGGGGCCAUAGCUCAGCUGGGAGAGCGCGUGCUUUGCAAGCAUGAGGUCGUCGGUUCGAUCCCGUCUGGCUCCACCAGAUGGUUUGAUCACCGACGCUGUGUUUGCAGCUAUUCAACCGUCGUCCGCGAAACAUCACUUCGCACCUACUAGUCUGGAUAGACAGUAGGUUGCGUGAUUUCUGACAUCGUAAAGAGGAGAUCGAUCCGAGUUGGAUCGGGCAGCAAGCAAUUGCUGGGCGAACCUUCAUUACCUCCGGUCAUUUCCGGGGUUCGGCCCCCUUUUCAAUGCGGUCCAAAAGGUGGGGGC